CUUAAAUUGUUUACAUAUCUUACAGUUCACUUUUUAGAAUAUAUUAGGAGUAUGCAGAUUUAUUAAGUGCUAUAAAAGGACAUAUACUCAUCUUAUCUUAUUGUAUGCCACGUGGUAUACACACUUUGAUUUUGUGAAUGUAUAUAUUUACUGGUUUUUAGAGUUAGAAGUCCCUAAACCUAUGUUAUGACAGGGGUGGCAAAUUAUUUUGAGGUAACGGGUCAAAAAUAACCUUUUUUUUUUGAGCAUACAAUUAAAUUUUGAAAAGAUAUGUGAAAUUGCAAAUUGUUUAAAAAUAAAUUAAUAAUUAAAUAAUUAUGUACAAGU